rnacentral:rRNA from 1 species
UACAGAGGUCUCAAGCGUUGUUCGGAUUCAUUGGGCGUAAAGGGUGCGUAGGCGGCGCGGUAAGUCGGGUGUGAAAUCUCGGAGCUUAACUCCGAAACUGCAUUCGAUACUGCCGUGCUUGAGGACUGGAGAGGAGACUGGAAUUUACGGUGUAGCGGUGAAAUGCGUAGAUAUCGUAAGGAAGACCAGUGGCGAAGGCGCUCUGCUGGACCAUAACUGACACUCAGGGACGAAAGCUAGGGGAGCGAAUGGG